GAUGAACGCUGGCGGCGUGCUUAACACAUGCAAGUCGAACGGUGAAGCAGGAGCUUGCUCUUGUGGAUCAGUGGCGAACGGGUGAGUAACACGUGAGCAACCUGCCCCUGACUCUGGGAUAAGCGCUGGAAACGGCGUCUAAUACUGGAUAUGUGAUGUGACCGCAUGGUCUGCAUCUGGAAAGAAUUUCGGUUGGGGAUGGGCUCGCGGCCUAUCAGCUUGUUGGUGAGGUAAUGGCUCACCAAGGCGUCGACGGGUAGCCGGCCUGAGGGGGUGACCGGACACACUGGGACUGAGACACGGCCCAGACUCCUACGGGAGGCAGCAGUGGGGAAUAUUGCACAAUGGGCGGAAGCCUGAUGCAGCAACGCCGCGUGAGGGAUGACGGCCUUCGGGUUGUAAACCUCUUUUAGCAGGGAAGAAGCGAAAGUGACGGUACCUGCAGAAAAAGCACCGGCUAACUACGUGCCAGCCGCCGCAGUAA
rnacentral:rRNA from 1 species